rnacentral:lncRNA from 1 species
UAUGUUCCGUCUCCACCUUUGCCUCCCUCUCUGCUGCCGCCGGUGCCAUACUUGCCAUACGUAUUACCACCACCUCCACCGCCAGUGCCAUCCUUGCCUUAUGUAUUACCACCACCUCCACCGCCCGUGCCAUCCUUGCCAUACGUAUUACCACCACCUCCAUCGCCCGUGCCAUCCUUGCCAUACGUAUUACCACCACCUCCACCGCCAGUGUCGUCGCUGCCAUAUGUCUUGCCUCCACCGGUAACACCACUUCCAUAUGU